UACGUAGGGUGCGAGCGUUAAUCGGAAUCACUGGGCGUAAAGCGCACGUAGGUGGCUUUUCAAGUCUGUUGUGAAAGCCCAGGGCCUAACCCUGGAAGUGCAGCAGAUACUGUUAAGCUUGAGUAUGGGAGAGGAUAGUGGAAUUUCUGGUGUAGUGGUGAAAUACGUAGAUAUCAGAAGGAACACCAGUGGCGAAGGCGGCUAUCUGGCCCAAUACUGACACUGAGGUGCGAAAGCGUGGGGAUCAAACAGG
rnacentral:rRNA from 1 species